rnacentral:lncRNA from 1 species
UUUCCCCGAGAUAAAACCUGUCAGUAUUGUUCGACCACGACCACUACAAAAUCCGUAAAUGUUGUUGUUGUCAUUAGAAAUAUUUUCUUCUUUUUCCUCUUCUAUUUCUUCAUCGAUGUCUUGCUCCUCAUCGUCAUCAUCGUUACUGUCACUGUAAUUACGUGACAGUUCAAGUUCAAGAUGACUAGCCAUUAAUUUUUUUAUUUUCUAGAUUUUUUAUGCUUCUUCUUGCUAUGGGUUUGGGACUAUGAAGGGUGUAUGGAGUGGGGUUGUGUUUUUGGGAAGAGAGAAAAGAAUAUAUGCACUGAUUUUUUUUUUAAUGUUACAGAAGUGAUAAAUCGAAACAAUGACAAGAAGAGGACAUAAAUUAUUGUAGAUAUCGGGAGAGCGUAAAGCUGACAAAAAUGGUAAGAACUUCCUAGACUAACCUUUUGUAAUUUGUCUACAUACUAUCCUAAGUGAAAUUUCAAAAGUAAAAAAUAUUCCAAGAAUUUAUUACUAUAUAUACAAUAUGUAAAGAACGAACUUGUUUUUUGAAAUUUUAAAUUAAAUU